rfam:Anolis carolinensis chromosome 3, whole genome shotgun sequence.
CUGUAUGUCAUUUUCAGUCUUCAAUUCCUCCCAGCCCGUUAAAUGGAAAAGGUGAGUUGAGGCGAGUUGAAGACUAAAAAUGCUGUGCAG